GACUGUUUUGUCUCAUGUCACACAUGUCAGUAGAAAAUAUCCUAGGUAUUGGAUGGUGCUGUUAGCAUUAACAGAACAAAGCACAUAGUGUUGGGAAGAUUAAUAAAUUAUGAGUAGGAUUAGAAAACCCCAAGCCUCUUCCAGGUCCUAAGAGGGCAAAAAAUACCACCAAACAUAGCAUUAAUGUGAUAGGUUUGUUAAAUCUAGUUACUAGAUUCUAGUGUAAUACCUAUGACCCUUUUUGUGUCAUGCUCAGCUUAUAAUGACUAGAGGACCUAAGCUUGAGAGUCACCAAUGCCUCUCCCUUGCUUCUCCAGCUGCUGAGUAUUGAAAAGCCCUAAUGAGACAGCAUCUGUUUGCAGACAUACUGGAUUAUUCUUCUUCACUUUAUCUCUCUGAGUCACCUCCACUCACAGGCAGGCUGGAUGACGACACUCAGCUGACAAUGUGGACAUCUCAAGACAGUCACUGGACAAUGGCUGACACACUUGUCUGAAGACUGGAAAUGUUUCUCGAUCUUGGAGAGGAAAGAAGGACCCUCCAACUACACUGUCCUCUAAGGACGUUUAUUCAGGUGAGGGAUGACAGGGACUGUUUUGUCUCACGUCACACAUGUCAGUAGAAAAUAUCCUAGGUAUUGGAUGGCGCUGUCAGCAUUAACAGAACAAAGCACAUAGUGUUGGGAAGAUUAAUAAAUUAUGAGUAGGAUUAGAAAACCCCAAGCCUCUUCCAGGUUCUAGGAGAGCAAAAAAAAAA
rnacentral:sRNA from 1 species